rnacentral:tRNA from 1 species
GGGGUCGUAGCCCAGCAUGGUAAGGCGACGGGCUCCAGACCCGUAGAUCGUGGGUUCAAGUCCCACCGACCCCA